rnacentral:rRNA from 1 species
UCAAGCUACAAAGAGCAUUGAGGUGGAUGCCUUGGUACAUGGCGCCGAAGAAGGACGUGACAAGCUGCGAAAAGCUACGGGGAGGAGCAAAUAUCCUGCGAGCCGUAGAUAUCCGAAUGAGGGAACUCAAUACGAGUAAUAUCGUAUUAUCCAUACCUGAACACAUAGGGUAUGAGAGGGGAACCCGGGGAACUGAAACAUCUUAGUACCCGGAGGAAAAGAAAGUAAAAACGAUUCCGAGAGUAGUGGCGAGCGAAAUCGGAGGAGCCCAAAGGAAUUGUAGAAAUACGAUUCUGGUAUCGAAAUCGAAGAAUAUCUUAGUCGAAGACAGUUGGAAAGCUGCACGAAACGAAGUGAUAGUCUUGUAGGCGAAAAGAUAUUUGAGAGGAUACAGCGAGUACGUCGGAACACGAGGAAUUCUGACGGAAUAUGUGGGGACCAUCCCAUAAGGCUAAAUACGACCAUGUGACCGAUAGCGAAUAGUACCGUGAGGGAAAGGUGAAAAGAACCCCGGGAGGGGAGUGAAAAAGAACCUGAAACCGGAUGCUUACAAGCAGACAGAGCACUACGUUGGCAACAACAGUGUGAUGUCGUACUUUUUGUAGAACGGGCCGGCGAGUUACGCGGAGAUGCAAGGUUAAGAGAUAAAGUCUCGGAGCCGAAGCGAAAGCGAGUCUGAAAAGGGCGAUAAGUAUCUUAGCGUAGACCCGAAACCUGGUGACCUAACCAUGAACAGGUUGAAGCAAUGGUAAAACGUUGUGGAGGACCGAACCCACGCCUGUUGAAAUAGUCGGGGAUGAUUUGUGGUUAGCGGAGAAAUUCCAAACGAACCGGGAUAUAGCUGGUUCUCCUCGAAAUAGCUUUAGGGCUAGCCUCGUUUUAGAUUACCGAAGGUAGAGCACUAAAUGGCCUAGGGGGCUUCACAGCUUACCGAAGCUUAUUAAACUCCGAAUGACGGAUAAUUGAUGAACGGGAGUCAGACAGCGACAGAUAAGUGCCGUUGUCAAAAGGGAAACAGCCCAGACCCACAGCUAAGGUCCCAAAGUAUAUGUUAAGUGGAAAAGGAUGUGUCAUUGUAAAGACAACCAGGAUGUUGGCUCAGAAGCAGCCACACAUUAAAAGAGUGCGUAAUAGCUCACUGGUCGAGUGAUGAUGCGCCGAAAAUUAACGGGGCUCAAACAUAACACCGAAGCUUGGGAAUAUACGAUGUAUAUUGGUAGAGGAGCAAUGCAUACGGGCAGAAGCCAUAUCGGAAGAGGUGGUGGACUGUAUGGAAGAGAGAAUGCCGGCAUAAGUAGCGAGAGCGGAGCGAGAAACUCCGCCGUCGAAAGUCUGAGGUUUCCUGGGGAAGGUUCGUCCGCCCAGGGUAAGUCGGGACCUAAGUCGAGGCUGAAAGGCGUAGAUGAUGGACAACUGGUUGAAAUUCCAGUACUACCGAACGAGAUAAUGACGCAGUGACACGGAGAGAUAGUAUGAGCGCGCGGAUGGAAAAGCGCGUCCAAGCAAUAAGGCUUACACGUAGUGAAGUACGCGUGUUAUAAGGCUGAGUUGUGAAGGGGAACGGACAAAGGAAGUGAAGCAUACGAAUCUGUACCGGCGAGAAAAGCUGCUAAAUAUUGUGAGGUACCCGUACCGCAAACCGACACAGGUAGACGAGAAGAAAAUUCUAAGACGAACGGGAGAACUCUUGUUAAGGAACUCGGCAAAAUGACCCCGUAACUUCGGGAGAAGGGGAACCACCGCGAGGUGGUCGCAGUGAAGAGGCCCAAGCGACUGUUUAUCAAAAACACAGGUUUCUGCUAAAUCGCAAGAUGAAGUAUAGGAGCUGACUCCUGCCCAGUGCCGGAAGGUUAAGGGGAUUUGUUAGAGCAAUCGAAGCAAUGAACUUAAGCCCCGGUGAACGGCGGCCGUAACUAUAACGGUCCUAAGGUAGCGAAAUUCCUUGUCGGGUAAGUUCCGACCCGCACGAAUGGAGUAACGACUUGGGCACUGUCUCAACAGGAGACCCGGCGAAAUUGUAGUAUACGUGAAGAUGCGUAUUAACCCGCGACUGGACGGAAAGACCCCGUAGAGCUUUACUGUAACUUGAUAUUGAAUCUCGGCAAUUGAUGCACAGGAUAGGUGGGACGCUUUGAAGUCAUCCUCUCGGGGGUGAUGGAGCGGACGUUGGGAUACCACUCUUCAAUUGCUGCGGUUCUAACCGGACGCCAGGAAUCUGGGUUUGGGACAUUGUCAGGUGGGCAGUUUGACUGGGGCGGUCGCCUCCUAAAAAGUAACGGAGGCGCCCAAAGGUUCCCUCAGGACGGUUGGAAAUCGUCCGACGAGUGCAAAGGCAUAAGGGAGCUUAACUGUGAGACUGACAGGUCGAACAGAUGCGAAAGCAGGGCUUAGUGAUCAGGCGGUAGAGAAUGGAAUUGCCGUCGCUUAACGGAUAAAAGUUACCUCGGGGAUA